UGAGGAAUUUUGCGCAAUGGGAGCAAUCCUGACGCAGCAACGCCGCGUGGGUGAUGAAGGCCUUCGGGGCGUAAAGCCCUGUCAGGUGGGAAGAAUGUCCCGGGACUGAACAGGUUUUGGGAGUGACGGUACCACCAGAGGAAGCACCGGCUAACUCCGUGCCAGCAGCCGCGGUAAUACGGAGGGUGCAAGCGUUAUUCGGAAUUACUGGGCGACAAGCGCGUGUAGGCGGUCCUGCAAGUCUGAUGUGAAAGCCCCGGGCUUAACCCGGGAAGUGCAUUGGAAACUGUGGGACUUGAGUACUGGAGAGGAUGGGUGAAUUCCCGGUGUCGAGGUGAAAUUCGUAGAGAUCGGGAGGAAUAUCAGUGGCGUAGGCGCCCAUCUGGACGGUAACUGACGCUGAGACGCGAAAGCGUGGGGAGCAAACA
rnacentral:rRNA from 1 species